CAACAGUUAAAGCUAUUGCAACGGUGGAAUGCAACGGUUUUAACUAAUGCAACGGUUUAGUGCAACGGAGUAGUCUGAUGCAACGACAUUUUACAACAGUUUAAUGUAUUGCAACGGUUUAGUUCUACGGUAUAUAAAAGACCGCUGCAGUAGGUGAUCAAAAGCUUCUCUUUUUUUCCUUAUUAGGCAGGGAAAAUAGAAAUUGUACGAAGUACGAGGGACUCGGGUCUACAGGGUUCGGAGCAAUAUCAUAAAUUUUCAUUACCCCAUUUUCCAAAAUCUUACCCCCCCUUCCUGCUUGCCCCAAAACCCACGCUUUGAGCCUUUCUCUCUCUUCCUCUUCAGGUUCACCACUCCCGUUGUUCGAUUACGCUCCACCAUUUUUUCGCUUGCUGUUCAUUCUCUUUCAUUGCAAGGUCGUUUCUCUUCCUUUUUUUAGUUUCAAUUUUCAAUUAUAAUUUUCAAUUAUAAUUUUCAAUUUCCCUAAUGUCAUUAAUUUCCGUUCUCUAAUCUGAUGCAAUCGAAAUUUAAGGUUAACUUGAUGAAUGUUGAUUGCGGCUAUACCUUGAAAUCUCCAUUUAAAUCUCAAAUUUCGAUAAUUACAAGGCUUGCAACUACGAAUUUGAGUCUCUUUCUGCGAUACAUCCAGAUGCGGUAGAUCCUCUUCAAGAAGGUUUUCCAUCUCAACUUUAACAUAUAUUCGUUGGCCAAAGGAUGUCAAUUUGAUGAGAGGUUCGACAAUUAUUGACCAGCAAUUCUGAUAUAAGGAAUUGGAUCCGCAAUAUUGAACAGCAUGCUUCAGACAAUGUGAACAAGAUUUUGGUCGGUAACAAGGCAAACAUGGAUGAGAGAAAAGGGUAAUUUAUGUUUCCCCCUCUCUCCCCUUCGAUAUCUGUCUAUAAAAUUAUAGUGUUUGGUACUGAUUUGAGAGUUUCAUUUACAUGUUGUUCCUACCUCGAAGGGGAAAGCCCUGACUGAUGAGUAUGGGGUCAAAUUCUUUAAAACAGUUAACUUGUUGCAGGUGGUUGCUUUUUUUGCUUAUACUUUAUCUGUCAUCUUCUGCUGAAUUGAAAAUGUAACAGAGUGCCAAGACAAUCUUGAAUGUGGAGGGGGUCUUCCUUUCAAUAGCAAGGGAUAUUAAACAGAGACUUGCAGAAUAUGACUCCAAGGCUAAGGUUGUAAGUCAUCAUUUACCUGUCUAUUUCAUGUACAUGAUCAUCGAGAAAAAAGUGAUUACCCUUUUGUGGUUAUCAGGUUUUGAUGUGCAUAUUGAGAAUAUCUUUUGUCGUGAACUUAGUAUGUAUGUAUGAUCCUGAAGUGCUAGUUUCUUUACCUGCUUGUUAGUUGAUUAACGUUGUAUAGCUCAACACCACGUUCAUAGUGAACUUAUAAAUUAUCACUAGUUAUCAUAAGAUUCCUGAAACCAAAGGGUUUAUACCUUUGUUUGUUAGACAUGCAGCCUGGUGGGGGACUUAAGAUCAAUGCAACAGACUUAGGUGCCCCUGUCCCAGCUGCUACCAAGUCGGUUUGCUGUGGCUCUUAAGCUAAUUAGCGGAUUUUUGGUUGAGGAUUUUUGGGUGGAUGAUCCACAAAUUUGAGGCCGUAAGAUGGCACAAAAUGGAGGAAAAUAUGAGGCUUAUUUCUCGUUCGUCAAGAGCUGGUCUCCAGGUCCUUCAAGAACCAAAUUAAUUACACAAGAAGGAACGCCAAUAAUGGGGAUUCAAACUUUUUGGUGGUGGAUCUUAUAAACUAGCGCUACACGCAGCUACAUAAUUAGAAUUAUUUUUAUUUUCCUUCUGUUAUGUCUUUUUGGUUUUGUACAAAUAUUACUUCAUUUUGUAAAUUGUCAAUAGACGAUGUGACGAUAAUGUGUAUAUAUUUAUGGAUAUUUUUAAUAAAAAUGAAAUUUUAUC